GUGUUGGCUUCGGCAGCACAUAUACUAAGUUGGAACGAUACAGAGAAGAGAGAUUUGCAUGGCCCCUGCUUAAGGGUGUCCAGCAAAUCCUGUAACGCGUUCCACAAAAAA
rnacentral:snRNA from 1 species